rnacentral:rRNA from 1 species
CACAUGCAAGUCGAGCGGCAGCGGGAAAGUAGCUUGCUACUUUUGCCGGCGAGCGGCGGACGGGUGAGUAAUGCCUGGGAAAUUGCCCAGUCGAGGGGGAUAACAGUUGGAAACGACUGCUAAUACCGCAAACGCCCUACGGGGGAAAGCAGGGGACCUUCGGGCCUUGCGCGAUUGGAUAUGCCCAGGUGGGAUUAGCUAGUUGGUGAGGUAAUGGCUCACCAAGGCGACGAUCCCUAGCUGGUCUGAGAGGAUGAUCUGCCACACUGGAACUGAGACACGGUCCACACUCCUACGGGAGGCAGCAUUGGGGAAUAUUGCACAAUGGGGGAAACCCUGAUGCAGCCAUGCCGCGUGUGUGAAGAAGGCCUUCGGGUUGUAAAGCACUUUCAGCGAGGAGGAAAGGUUGGUAGCUAAUAACUGCCAGCUGUGACGUUACUCGCAGAAGAAGCACCGGCUAACUCCAUGCCAGCAGCCACGGUAAUACGGAGGGUGCAAGCGUUAAUCGGAAUUACUGGGCGUAAAGCGCACGCAGGCAGGUGGAUAAGUUAGAUGUGAAAGCCCCGGGCUCAACCUGGGAAUUGCAUUUAAAACUGUCCAGCUAGAGUCUUGUAGAGGGGGGUAGAAUUCCCGGU